CAGCAGCCACGGUAAUACGAAGGGUGCAAGCGUUACUCGGAAUUACUGGGCGUAAAGCGUGCGUAGGUGGUGGUUUAAGUCCGUUGUGAAAGCCCUGGGCUCAACCUGGGAAUUGGAGUGGAUACUGGGUCACUAGAGUGUGGUAGAGGAUAGUGGAAUUUCCGGUGUAGCAGUGAAAUGCGUAGAGAUCGGAAGGAACAUCUGUGGCGAAGGCGACUAUCUGGGCCAACACUGACACUGAGGCACGAAAGCGUGGGGAGCAAACAGGAUUAGAUACCCCUGUAGUCCCUGUCUCUUAUAC
rnacentral:rRNA from 1 species